AUUGAACGCUGGCGGCAUGCCUUACACAUGCAAGUCGAACGGUAACAGGUCUUCGGAUGCUGACGAGUGGCGAACGGGUGAGUAAUACAUCGGAACGUGCCCGAGAGUGGGGGAUAACGAAGCGAAAGCUUUGCUAAUACCGCAUACGAUCUCAGGAUGAAAGCAGGGGACCGCAAGGCCUUGCGCCCACGGAGCGGCCGAUGGCAGAUUAGGUAGUUGGUGGGAUAAAAGCUUACCAAGCCGACGAUCUGUAGCUGGUCUGAGAGGACGACCAGCCACACUGGGACUGAGACACGGCCCAGACCCCUACGGGAGGCAGCAGUGGGGAAUUUUGGACAAUGGGCGCAAGCCUGAUCCAGCCAUGCCGCGUGCAGGAUGAAGGCCUUCGGGUUGUAAACUGCUUUUGUACGGAACGAAAAGACUCCUUCUAAUAAAGGGGGUCCAUGACGGUACCGUAAGAAUAAGCACCGGCUAACUACGUGCCAGCAGCCGCGGUAAUAC
rnacentral:rRNA from 1 species